ensembl:snRNA U6 U6 spliceosomal RNA
AUGCUAAUUUCAGCAGCACAUUUAAUAAAAUUGCAACAACACAGAGGUUAGCAUGGCCCCUGCGCAAGGAUGACAUGCAAAUUCGGGAAGCAUUCCAUAUGUUG